rnacentral:pre_miRNA from 1 species
UGUGUACUCCCUCCGUUCCAAAAUACUUGACUUCCAUUUGUCCAAAAAUGGAUGUACCUAUAUACUAAGACAUGUCUAGAUACAUAUAUAUUUUGANUAGAAGGCAUGUAUUGUGCAACGGAGGGAGUAGAAU